rnacentral:rRNA from 1 species
UACAGAGGUCUCAAGCGUUGUUCGGAUUCAUUGGGCGUAAAGGGUGCGUAGGCGGCGCGGUAAGUCGGGUGUGAAAUCUUGGAGCUUAACUCCGAAACUGCAUUCGAUACUGCCGUGCUUGAGGACUGGAGAGGAGACUGGAAUUUACGGUGUAGCGGUGAAAUGCGUAGAUAUCUGGAGGAAUACCGGUGGCGAAGGCGGCAUCCUGGACCGACAUUGACGCUGAACGGCGAAAGCUA